rnacentral:tRNA from 1 species
GGGCGCAUAGCUCAGUUGGCUAGAGCGCUGGCUUUACAUGCCAGAUGUCGGGGGUUCGAGUCCCUCUGCGCCCACCU